rnacentral:rRNA from 1 species
GAUGAACGCUGGCGGCGUGCCUAAUACAUGCAAGUCGAGCGAACAGACGAGGAGCUUGCUCCUCUGACGUUAGCGGCGGACGGGUGAGUAACACGUGGAUAACCUACCUAUAAGACUGGGAUAACUUCGGGAAACCGGAGCUAAUACCGGAUAAUAUAUUGAACCGCAUGGUUCAAUAGUGAAAGACGGUUUUGCUGUCACUUAUAGAUGGAUCCGCGCCGCAUUAGCUAGUUGGUAAGGUAACGGCUUACCAAGGCGACGAUGCGUAGCCGACCUGAGAGGGUGAUCGGCCACACUGGAGCUGAGACACGGUCCAGACUCCUACGGGAGGCAGCAGUAGGGAAUCUUGCGCAAUGGGCGAAAGCCUGACGGAGCAACGCCGCGUGAGUGAUGAAGGUCUCGGAUCGUAAAACUCUGUUAUUAGGGAAGAACAAAUGUGUAAGUAACUAUGCACGUCUUGACGGUACCUAAUCAGAAAGCCACGGCUAACUACGUG